UACGGGGGGAGCAAGCGUUGUUCGGAUUUACUGGGCGUAAAGGGCGCGUAGGCGGCCAGUGCAAGUCAGUUGUGAAAUCUCCGAGCUUAACUCGGAAAGGUCAACUGAUACUGCUCGGCUAGAGUGCGGAAGGGGCAACUGGAAUUCUUGGUGUAGCGGUGAAAUGCGUAGAUAUCAAGAGGAACACCGGUGGCGAAGGCGGGUCUCUGGGCAACAACUGACGCUGAGGAGCGAAAGCGUGGGGAGCGAACAGG
rnacentral:rRNA from 1 species